CUCUUCCAAUCCAGUAUUUGCACAUUUAAGAAGCACGUUUGAAUUAAUGUCAUUUUAAUGACAGUUGACAACAUGUAGGAUUUGGAGAAAAUACUUAUUGGAUAAAAAAAAAAAUUCAGCACAAGAAAGGGCAUGACCAAAAUGUUUUCAUAAUUAAAAUGAGAUGCAAUAGGUCCAAAGUCAUAAAAUGUACAUUUACACUUGACCGAAUCAAAAGUACCGGAGGAAAAAAGAUAAUGUAAAUGUAUAAUGUGCACAUUUCAGCUUUAAGACAGUAAAUGAGACUGGUCAUGGGGUAGAGGUAGGCAUGUCAGUGGUGAUGCCACAGAUGUUCUGGUUACUGUCAUGGAUCACCGGUAGGUGGAGCCUGCACACAGCUUCUGUUGCCAUUUGUGAAAUGUUUACUUUGUCUGUGUAAUAAGAAGAGGAAGACGAUCAGCACUGACUGAUCACCUGAGUCAAAAGGAUGACAAAAUAGAAGGCAGCAUGUUCCUUUAGAACCCCAGAACGAAAGGUACAGGUCAUGAAUGAGGUUGGCUGGAAAACCCAGUAUGGAAAAAAAAUCACUCCUGAAGUGUGUGUGUGUGUGUGAGUAAGUGAGUGAGU